rnacentral:rRNA from 1 species
UGGGGAAUUUUGGACAAUGGGCGAAAGCCUGAUCCAGCAAUGCCGCGUGUGUGAAGAAGGCCUUCGGGUUGUAAAGCACUUUUGUCCGGAAAGAAAUCCUUGGCUCUAAUACAGUCGGGGGAUGACGGUACCGGAAGAAUAAGCACCGGCUAACUACGUGCCAGCAGCCGCGGUAAUACGUAGGGUGCAAGCGUUAAUCGGAAUUACUGGGCGUAAAGCGUGCGCAGGCGGUUUGCUAAGACCGAUGUGAAAUCCCCGGGCUCAACCUGGGAACUGCAUUGGUGACUGGCAGGCUAGAGUAUGGCAGAGGGGGGUAGAAUUCCACGUGUAGCAGUGAAAUGCGUAGAGAUGUGGAGGAAUACCGAUGGCGAAGGCAGCCCCCUGGGCCAAUACUGACGCUCAUGCACGAAAGCGUGGGGAGCAAAACAGGAUUAGAUACCCUGGUAGUCCACGCCCUAAACGAUGUCAACUAGUUGUUGGGGAUUCAUUUCCUUAGUAACGUAGCUAACGCGUGAAGUUGACCGCCUGGGGAGUACGGUCGCAAGAUUAAAACUUAAUGAAUUGACGGGGUCAUAGCUGUUUCCU